rnacentral:Y_RNA from 1 species
GGCUGGCCUGAGUGCAAUGGUCUUUACAACUAAUUGAUCACAACCAGUUAGAGAUUUCUUUGUUCCUUUUCCAGUUCACUUCUUCACUGGACUAGCCUUAA